CAAAGCCCAUCUACAAGCUCUAUUUCCCCUCUGCUGAUGCUGCCUUUGGCACGGGCUGUAAUAGAAGUACCAUCUCCGCUGUCCUCACCGUUGUGCGUUCUCACUCUCCUCCCAGCACCGACGUCCACAAAUCCAGCUUUCCCAGUUCAGGACUGGUGGAGGAGACGUGGGGCUCUCUGAGCUGUGACGAUUUCCAGCGCUGCUCCCCAUUGCAUCGCUUCUUUCUGAGAAAGCCGCCUGGGUGGCAUCCAGCUCGGAGCUGUUCCACUGCUCUGCUCUGAUGGGAAAACUGCAGGAAGAGCACAGCAUCCGCAUCCUCGACCACCUGCAGGCUCUGUGCCGGCUGCAGUGCACGGUGCGAUCAAGUGAAGCCAUGGCACCGUUUGGCUCUGAUUCCUCCACCUGUGCUAAGAGGAAAGUGAGAGUGGCUUCACAGCUGCUGCUUUAAGGAGCUGAGCUGAAGCGGGAGGAGAAAAUGGGCUCAGGUGUAAACCAGCAGUAAAUUGUAGGUGGUUAAGAGGGCAGAAGCCGUGGGGGGCUCUGCUGGGUGCUCUGAGCAGGCAGCAGCUGGGCUGAGGGAGUUUCUUCUUAAGAGAUUCCUGGGGAGUGCCAUCUACAUCAUGCCCCAGCGUUUGUACUCGUCUUCCCGUGCACGUGGCUGUCGUUUCUCUGCUCUUUCUGUCUUUCUCUGCUCUCGUGCCUGUGUUGGUGUACAUCCAGAUGAGCGGUAAUGCUCCUUUAGGCACAGAGGAGGUGGGGUGGAGAGCUGGAAUCCCCUGUCGUAGGUGCUGGGUGUAGG
rnacentral:lncRNA from 1 species